rnacentral:misc_RNA from 1 species
GAUGAAGAACGUAGCGAAAUGCGAUAAGUAAUGUGAAUUGCAGAAUUCAGUGAAUCAUCGAAUCUUUGAACGCACAUUGCGCCCGCCAGUAUUCUGGCGGGCAUGCCUGUUCGAGCGUCAUUACAACCCUCAGGCCCCCGGGCCUGGCGUUGGGGAUCGGCAGAAGCCCCCUGUGGGCACACGCCGUCCCUCAAAUACAGUGGCGGUCCCGCCGCAGCUUCCAUUGCGUAGUAGCUAACACCUCGCAACUGGAGAGCGGCGCGGCCAUGCCGUAAAACACCCAACUUCUGAAUGUUGACCUCGAAUCAGGUAGGAAUACCCGCUGAACUUAAGUAUAUCAAUAAGCGGAGGA